UACAGAGGUCUCAAGCGUUGUUCGGAUUUAUUGGGCGUAAAGCGUGCGUAGGCGGCGGGUAAGUGAGGUGUGAAAUCCCGGAGCUUAACUCCGGAACUGCACUUUAUACUGCCUUGCUCGAGGGCUGGAGAGGAGACUGGAAUUUACGGUGUAGCAGUGAAAUGCGUAGAGAUCGUAAGGAAGACCAGUGGCGAAGGCGAGUCUCCGGAAAGCUGCUGGACG
rnacentral:rRNA from 1 species